UGGGCAGCUACCAUGCAAGUCGAACGAUGACCCUGGUGCUUGCACCAGGUGAUUAGUGGCGAACGGGUGAGUAACACGUGAGUAACCUGCCCCCGACUCUGGGAUAAGCCCGGGAAACUGGGUCUAAUACCGGAUAUUCACUUCCUUCCGCAUGGAGGGUGGUGGAAAGAUUUAUCGGUGGGGGAUGGACUCGCGGCCUAUCAGCUUGUUGGUGGGGUAAUGGCCUACCAAGGCGACGACGGGUAGCCGGCCUGAGAGGGUGACCGGCCACACUGGGACUGAGACACGGCCCAGACUCCUACGGGAGGCAGCAGUGGGGAAUAUUGCACAAUGGGCGAAAGCCUGAUGCAGCGACGCCGCGUGAGGGAUGACGGCCUUCGGGUUGUAAACCUCUUUCAGUAGGGAAGAAGCGAAAGUGACGGUACCUGCAGAAGAAGCGCCGGCUAACUACGUGCCAGCAGCCGCGGUAAUACGUAGGGCGCAAGCGUUAUCCGGAAUUAUUGGGCGUAAAGAGCUCGUAGGCGGUUUGUCGCGUCUGCCGUGAAAGUCCGGGGCUCAACCCCGGAUCUGCGGUGGGUACGGGCAGACUAGAGUGAUGUAGGGGAGACUGGAAUUCCUGGUGUAGCGGUGAAAUGCGCAGAUAUCAGGAGGAACACCGAUGGCGAAGGCAGGUCUCUGGGCAUUAACUGACGCUGAGGAGCGAAAGCAUGGGGAGCGAACAGGAUUAGAUACCCUGGUAGUCCAUGCCGUAAACGUUGGGCACUAGAUGUGGGGGACAUUCCACGUUUUCCGCGUCGUAGCUAACGCAUUAAGUGCCCCGCCUGGGGAGUACGGCCGCAAGGCUAAAACUCAAAGGAAUUGACGGGGGCCCGCCACA
rnacentral:rRNA from 1 species